rnacentral:lncRNA from 1 species
UUCCUCGUGAAAGCUACCAACCUAAAGGCUUUAAAUGCUAACAGUCCAAUAGGAAUUUUCUGGAGAAAACAACAAUGAAAAGAUCAUCUAAAUUUGUUUUUUUUUUUUAAUUAAAAUAGCUUUGCAGUGUUUUCACAAGUGAACAAUAGGCUGUAACGGUGGUUAUAGGUGCACGAAUUUGAGGCAAAUAUCGAACAAAGGUCGUUGACAAGCAAUCGUCAGCUAUUCCAGUAAGGGCGUCACAACAAUCACUGGUUAGACCUUGCAAGUCUCCAGUGGUAAAUACCUCCUGAACCUCUAGCAACACAAUCUUUCACAUUGUCGUAAUUUCCAAGGCACUCUGCUAUCAGCCCUCCUAUGUCAAGUGCAUUUUUCUUUGUCUUCCCCUUCUUAGGGAAAAGAUUUUUAAUGAAUUUCUCCGAUACUAAAGUUUCUGGUGGUAUGUUUCCAUCUCUUGGUAUGAAAAGUUGAGACUCCGGUGCCAUUUGGGAUUGUCCCGGUUGGACCAUUGCGGCUACGCAAAGUGCCAGCACCAUUGCCAUGAUGCCAUGGCAAAUGGG